rnacentral:rRNA from 1 species
UUGAACGCUGGCGGCAUGCUUUGCACAUGCAAGUCGAACGGCAGCGGGGGCUUCGGCCUGCCGGCGAGUGGCGAACGGGUGAGUAAUGCAUCGGAACGUGCCGAGUAAUGGGGGAUAACGCAGCGAAAGCUGUGCUAAUACCGCAUACGCCCUGAGGGGGAAAGUGGGGGAUCGCAAGACCUCACGUUAUUCGAGCGGCCGACGUCUGAUUAGCUAGUUGGUGGGGUAAAGGCUCACCAAGGCGACGAUCAGUAGCGGGUCUGAGAGGAUGAUCCGUCACACUGGAACUGAGACACGGUCCAGACUCCUACGGGAGGCAGCAGUGGGGAAUUUUGGACAAUGGGGGAAACCCUGAUCCAGCCAUUCCGCGUGAGUGAAGAAGGCCUUCGGGUUGUAAAGCUCUUUCGGCAGGAACGAAACGGUAAGGGCUAAUAUCCUUUGCUAAUGACGGUACCUGAAGAAGAAGCACCGGCUAACUACGU